UAUUUUUAGCUGCUCUAGAAUGCCCUCUUUUGAGGUGCAGAUGAGGUGGAGGAAUCGGUUGUGCACAGUUCCCAUUGGGAGGUAUAAUAAAGAAGAGGACGCAAGCACAUUCAUUGAUGCUCUCGAAUCUGCUCUUGUCGCAAUUGAAUUAGCAGUUCUUGCCCUUCUUAGUCUUGUCGCUGCUUAACUAUGAGUACGAGUUGGAGCUCCUGGGUUCAUGACUGGCGCUACUGCUAUUGAAUCAUCUCUUUGAAGGAAAAAUGCCACAAAUGACUAUAAUGAGA
rnacentral:lncRNA from 1 species